GUGCCAGCCGCCGCGGUAAUACAGAGGUGGCAAGCGUUGUUCGGAAUUACUGGGCGUAAAGGGCGCGUAGGCGGCCAUCUAAGUCAGACGUGAAAUCCCCCGGCUCAACCUGGGAACUGCGUCUGAUACUGGACGGCUUGAGUUUGGGAGAGGGAUGUAGAAUUCCAGGUGUAGCGGUGAAAUGCGUAGAUAUCUGGAGGAAUACCGGUGGCGAAGGCGGCAUCCUGGACCAAUACUGACGCUGAGGCGCGAAAGCUAGGGGAGCAAACGGGAUUAGAUACCCCGGUAGUCC
rnacentral:rRNA from 1 species